CAUCUUGAAGAGAGAGGUGUAGAGAGAGAGAGAGAGAGAGAGGAUUAAUUAGGGGGUGGGUAAAUUUAGAAAUCCUGGUUGUUCUGCAUGGUGGUAGCGUGGGGGCUGCUAAUAUUCAAUUCACCCUGGCUCUUCGGGACCACUCCGUUUUUAGGGUUUUAACUCUUUGCAGCUUUCCUUUGCAGCCCCUAAUUUAUCGUUAACCAUCUCUUCCUCACCGCCUAUUUAUUUCCAUCCACACCAGGGUAUAGAUGGAGGGAGACUCUACAAAGAAUACAACAGUGAGGGGAAGAGAAGCAACAGGAAGAGGAAUAAAUAAUAAAUCCCCAGUGCAUAUGUGUUGUACUAUCUCAAUUGGAACGGGCAACACACACUCUCCCUCCCCCUCGCUUUUCCCUGUCUGCUGUACAUGGUACGAAACCCUAACCCUAGGAAGCGAAGCACUUGGCUUCCCUGGAGUUCAGUUGCCCCUCCCAAAACAGGCGAUGUUGAUCACGAAUGGUUGAGAUAUCUCAUGUCAAAAAAGUAGUGGAAGAAUACAAUCCAAUCAACCAUUGCUGAUACCGGACGGCUAACAAAAUUAUACACCCCGAACUGCCUUUGACAUCGGAUGGUUGGGAUGGUGCUAGCGAAGUGGAGGAAACCUAGGUGGGAAGUACUGAAAAAUCAGCUUUCAAUGUUAAGAUGGAAUAAUUAUAACGCUUUUUUUUUUUCUUACAAAGUUAGCAAGGGGUUCAGCCGGGGGAAUGUUUCUAUAUUUCCCCUCUUCUAUAGAAGGUAUAUA